rnacentral:lncRNA from 1 species
CGCUGGCAGGGCUAGAGCACAGCUGAGCGGGAAGCUUCCUGCAGGGGACUGGGGAUGGGGCCAGAGCCAGGAAAGGAGCACCAGGUGGAGGCCCAUUUACUGGGGUGCAGCAACCAAACAGAAGACACGAUAAGGCCAUUUUCUCUUGCAUCCUCC